rnacentral:rRNA from 1 species
UAAGGAAUAUUGCUCAAUGGGAGAAAUCCUGAAGCAGCAACGCCGCGUGGAGGAUGAAGGGUCUAUGACUUGUAAACUCCUGUAAAGAAGGAAAAAAUUCCCAUUAGAUGGGAGAUGAUGGUACUUCUGGAGUAAGCCCCGGCUAACUACGUGCCAGCAGCCGCGGUAAUACGUAGGGGGCAAGCGUUGUCCGGAUUUACUGGGUGUAAAGGGUGCUCAGGCGGAUUUGUAAGUCAGAGGUGAAAUCUUACAGCUUAACUGUGAAACUGACUUUGAUACUGCAAGCCUAGAGUAUGGAAGAGAGUGAUGGAAUAUCUGGUGUAGCAGUGAAAUGCGUAGAUAUCAGAUAGAACACCAAUGGCGAAGGCAGUCACUUGGUCCAUUACUGACGCUAAAGCACGAAAGCGUGGGUAGCAAACA